rnacentral:miRNA from 1 species
CAGGGAUGAUGGGAAUUGUAGUCCCAAAACAUCUGGAGGACCAAGUUUGGGGGUGCCUGUUGUAUUGUGUCCUUAUUCUACAACAGGCAUCCCCAAACUUGGCCUAGAUGUUUUGGGACUACAACUCCCAUCAUCCCU